rnacentral:rRNA from 1 species
CACAAGCGGUGGAUGAUGUGGUUAAUUCGAUGCAACGCGAAAACCUUACCCACCUUUGACAUGUACGGAACCCUUUAGAGAUAGAGGGGUGCUCGAAAGAGAGCCGUAACACAGGUGCUGCAUGGCUGUCGUCAGCUCGUGUCGUGAGAUGUUGGGUUAAGUCCCGCAACGAGCGCAACCCUUGUCAUUAGUUGCUACAUUCAGUUGGGCACUCUAAUGAGACUGCCGGUGACAAGCCGGAGGAAGGUGGGGAUGACGUCAAGUCCUCAUGGCCCUUAUAGGUGGGGCUACACACGUCAUACAAUGGCUGGUACAAAGGGUUGCCAACCCGCGAGGGGGAGCCAAUCCCAUAAAGCCAGUCGUAGUCCGGAUCGUAGUCUGCAACUCGACUACGUGAAGUCGGAAUCGCUAGUAAUCGUGGAUCAGAAUGUCACGGUGAAUACGUUCCCGGGUCUU